rnacentral:lncRNA from 1 species
AUGACAACCCAACAGAUCCGUGCGGAUCAAAAGAAGGAUCCCGUUGUUGGUCAGCUGUUGUACUUCCAGAAUAUGAACAAGAAGCCACCACGCAAUGUGAGGAUGGGCCUAGGACAACAGGCGGGCCUUCUCUUAAAAGAGUGGAGGAAGCUAGUGGUCAGGAACGGAAUCCUGUACAGAUGUACCACCCAUUGCCGGAGGGGAGCCAUAAAGCAUCUCAUCCUACCAGAGAAGUUGCGUGUGGGGAUCAAAACUGUGCUGCAUGACGAUUCAGGACACUUAGGCUUUGAGAGGACACUUCAGUCAAUAAGGGAGAGAUUCUAUUGGCCGAAUAUGUUCGCAGAGAUCAAAGUCUGUUGUGAGCGGUGUGAAAGAUGCUGUCUCAGGAAGACUUCCACGGGUGGGGUUGGAGCCCUUCUGGUGAGCAUCCAAAGCAGUGCCCCAUUGGAACUUGUGUGCGUGGACUUUCUCUGCCCGGAAAAGUCAAAGGGGGGCAUCGAGAAUGUACUAGUGGUGACGGACAACUUCUUGCGUUAUGCUCAGGCCCAACUCACCAAAGACCAGAAAGCUGCCACAGUAGCCAAGGUUCUUUGGAAGAACUUCUUCUGCAGGUUUGGGUUUCCGGCCAAGUUAUAUGCGUAUCAGGGGGCGGAACUUCGAGAGUGCAAUUGUAAAAGAGCUGUGCAGGAUCACAGGCAACACCAAGACCCACACCACUCCCCAUACCACCCACAGGGCAAUGGGACCACAGAACAUUUCAACCGGGCACUGAUGAACAUGUUGGGAACUCUGAAGCCCCACCUGAAACCAAGGUGGCAUGAACAUGUGGACGCCAUGACUCAUGCAUAUAACUACACACGACAUGACUCGACUGGAUACAUACCCUACCAUCUGAUGUUUGGGAGACAUCCCAGGCUCCCAAUAGACCUGGUUUUUGGGACUUCAUCCCAUAAUAACCAAGGGGGAUACAGCGAGUAUGUGCAAACGCUGCAUGAUUGUUUGGUGGAGGCAUGA